rnacentral:rRNA from 1 species
UACGGAGGGGGUUAGCGUUGUUCGGAAUUACUGGGCGUAAAGCGUACGUAGGCGGCUUAUUAAGUCGGAUGUGAAAGCCCUGGGCUCAACCUGGGAACUGCAUCCGAUACUGGUAGGCUAGAGUUUGUGAGAGGGUAGUGGAAUUCCUAGUGUAGCGGUGAAAUGCGUAGAUAUUAGGAGGAACAUCAGUGGCGAAGGCG